rnacentral:rRNA from 2 species
UACGUAGGGUGCAAGCGUUGUCCGGAAUUAUUGGGCGUAAAGAGCUCGUAGGCGGUCUGUCGCGUCUGGUGUGAAAAUCCAGGGCUUAACCCUGGACCUGCAUCGGGUACGGGCAGACUAGAGUGCGGUAGGGGAGAUCGGAAUUCCUGGUGUAGCGGUGAAAUGCGCAGAUAUCAGGAGGAACACCGGUGGCGAAGGCGGAUCUCUGGGCCGUAACUGACGCUGAGGAGCGAAAGCAUGGGGAGCGAACAGG